AUUGAACGCUGGCGGCAUGCCUUACACAUGCAAGUCGAACGGCAGCGGGGGAGAAGCUUGCUUUUCCUGCCGGCGAGUGGCGAACGGGUGAGUAAUACAUCGGCACGUGCCCUGUAGUGGGGGAUAACUAGUCGAAAGAUUAGCUAAUACCGCAUACGACCUGAGGGUGAAAGUGGGGGACCGCAAGGCCUCAUGCUAUAGGAGCGGCCGAUGUCUGAUUAGCUAGUUGGUGGGGUAAAGGCCUACCAAGGCGACGAUCAGUAGCUGGUCUGAGAGGAAGAUCAGCCACACUGGGACUGAGACACGGCCCAGACUCCUACGGGAGGCAGCAGUGGGGAAUUUUGGACAAUGGGCGAAAGCCUGAUCCAGCAAUGCCGCGUGUGUGAAGAAGGCCUUCGGGUUGUAAAGCACUUUUGUCCGGAAAGAAAUGGCUCUGGUUAAUACCUGGGGUCGAUGACGGUACCGGAAGAAUAAGGACCGGCUAACUACGUGCCAGCCGCCGCGGUAA
rnacentral:rRNA from 1 species